CCUACGGGAGGCAGCAGUGAGGAAUAUUGGUCAAUGGCCGGAAGGCUGAACCAGCCAUGCCGCGUGAAGGUCAGUGCCCUAUGGGCGUUAAACUUCUUUUGUGCGGGAGCAAUAAUGGUCACGUGUGGCCAGACGAGAGUACCGUACGAAUAAGCAUCGGCUAACUCCGUGCCAGCAGCCGCGGUAAUACGGGGGAUGCAAGCGUUAUCCGGAUUUAUUGGGUUUAAAGGGUGCGUAGGCUGGGAGGUAAGUCAGCGGUGAAAUGCCCCCGCCCAACGGGGUGAAGUGCCAUUGAUACUGCCUGGCUGGAAUGCGGAUGAGGUGGGAGGAAUGUGUGGUGUAGCGGUGAAAUGCAUAGAUAUCACACAGAACACCGAUUGCGAAGGCAUCUCACGAAUCCGCGAUUGACGCUGAUGCACGAAAGCGUGGGUAUCAAACAGGAUUAGAUACCCCUGUAGUC
rnacentral:rRNA from 1 species